UGCAGUUCAAGCAGUCAGCCGUCCCUCAGAGUAGUCAGUUAUUAACUGUAUGAUAGAUAAUGAUACUAGAUUCUAGAUUCAGUAUUCUAUCUAGAUCUAAACUCUAGAAUAGAUCUAGGUCUAAGAUAUAUAUCUACUAGAGUUCUAGAUAUACUAAUGAUAGAUCUAGGCCUUAUUCUACAAAAUUAGAUCUAGUCUAGACUUGUACACUUGUAGUUCUUCUAGUAUACUACUACUUACUAGUCUACUACUUACUUAACUUACU